rnacentral:rRNA from 1 species
UACAGAGGGGGCAAGCGUUGUUCGGAAUUACUGGGCGUAAAGGGCGCGUAGGCGGCCUGUUAAGUCGGACGUGGAAUCCCUCGGCUCAACCGGGGAACUGCGUCCGAUACUGGCGGGCUUGAAUUCGGGAGAGGGAUGUGGAAUUCCAGGUGUAGCGGUGAAAUGCGUAGAUAUCUGGAGGAACACCGGUGGCGAAGGCGGCAUCCUGGACCGACAUUGACGCUGAGGCGCGAAAGCCAGGGGAGCAAACGGG